rnacentral:tRNA from 1 species
GCGGCGAUAGUAUAAUGGCUAGUAUAUUGGCCUUCCAAGCCAAUGGUCCGGGUUCGAAAGGAGGCUCAAAUUUUAACACAAAGUGCUACGUGCACAAACUAAAAUAGGACUAUCCUCGAAAGUCCCGGUCGCCGCA